rnacentral:rRNA from 1 species
UACGGGGGGAGCAAGCGUUGUUCGGAUUUAUUGGGCGUAAAGAGCGUGUAGGCGGCUUGGCAAGUCGGGUGUGAAAUCCCGGGGCUCAACCCCGUGACUGCAUCCGAUACUGUCAGGCUAGAGGUAGGUAGGGGAGAUCGGAAUUCCUGGUGUAGCGGUGAAAUGCGCAGAUAUCAGGAGGAACACCGGUGGCGAAGGCGGAUCUCUGGGCCUUACCUGACGCUCAGGCGCGAAAGCUAGGGGAGCGAACAGG